GACGAACGCUGGCGGCGUGCCUAAUACAUGCAAGUUGAGCGCUGAAGGUUGGUACUUGUACCAACUGGAUGAGCAGCGAACGGGUGAGUAACGCGUGGGGAAUCUGCCUUUGAGCGGGGGACAACAUUUGGAAACGAAUGCUAAUACCGCAUAAAAACUUUAAACACAAGUUUUAAGUUUGAAAGAUGCAAUUGCAUCACUCAAAGAUGAUCCCGCGUUGUAUUAGCUAGUUGGUGAGGUAAAGGCUCACCAAGGCGAUGAUACAUGGCCGACCUGAGAGGGUGAUCGGCCACAUUGGGACUGGGACACGGCCCAAACUCCUACGGGAGGCAGCAGUAGGGAAUCUUCGGCAAUGGACGAAAGUCUGACCGAGCAACGCCGCGUGAGUGAAGAAGGUUUUCGGAUCGUAAAACUCUGUUGGUAGAGAAGAACGUUGGUGAGAGUGGAAAGCUCAUCAAGUGACGGUAACUACACAGAAAGGGACGGCUAACUACGUG
rnacentral:rRNA from 1 species